AGAGUUUGAUCAUGGCUCAGGACGAACGCUGGCGGCGUGCCUAACACAUGCAAGUCGAGCGGAGACAGUGAGUAGCUUGCUAUGAGCUGUUUUAGCGGCGGACGGGUGAGUAACGCGUGAGCAACCUUUCCCAGACAGGGGGAAUAACACACCGAAAGGUGUACUAAUACCGCAUAAGACCCACGGGGAUCACAUGGUUCUGGGGGUAAAAAGAUUUUAUCGGGUUUUGGGGUGGGCUCGCGUCCGAUUAGGUAGUUGGUGAGGUAACCGG
rnacentral:rRNA from 1 species